AUUGAACGCUGGCGGCAGGCCUAACACAUGCAAGUCGAGCGGAUGAAGGGUGCUUGCUCCUGGAUUCAGCGGCGGACGGGUGAGUAAUGCCUAUGAAUCUGCCUUGUCGUGGGGGAUAACGUCCUGAAACGGGCGCUAAUACCGCAUCCGUCCUGAUUUUGAAAGUGGGGGUUCUUCGGACCUCUCGCUAUCAUAUGAGCCUAGGUCGGAUUAGCUAGUUGGUGGGGUAAAGGCCUACCAAGGCGACGAUCCGUAACUGGUCUGAGAGGAUGAUCAGGCACACUGGAAGUGAGACACGGUCCAGACUCCUACGGGAGGCAGCAGUGGGGAAUAUUGGACAAGGGGGGAAAGCGUGAUACAGCAAUGCCGCGUGUGUGAAGAAGGUCUUCGGAUUGUAAAGAAAUUUAAGUUGGGAGGAAGGGAAGUAAGUUAAUACCUUGCUGUUUUGACGUUACCAACAGAAUAAGCACCGGCUAACUUCGUG
rnacentral:rRNA from 1 species